rnacentral:rRNA from 1 species
UAGAGUGUUCACGGCAGGCAAUCGCCCUGAAUCUUGUAGCAUGGAAUAAUACUAUAGGACCUUGGCUCUAUUUUGUUGGUUUCUAAAGCUAAGGUAAUGAUUAAUAGGGAUAAUUGGGGCGAUCGCUACUAACGCGCUAGAGGUGGAUUUCUUGGAUAACGUUAAGACUAACUACUGUGAAGACAUUUCGCAAGGAUGUUUUCAUUGAUCAAGAGCGAAAGCAAGGGGAUCGAAGACGCUUAGAUACCGUCGUAGUCCUUACCAUAAACUGUGCCGACUGGGGAUUGGAGGUCGUUCCUUUGAUGACUCCUUUAGCACCUAAAGAGAAAUCUUAAGUUUUGAGGUUUCGGGGGGAGUAUGGUCGCAAGUCCGAAACUUAAAGGAAUUGAUGGAAGGGCACCACCAGGAGUGGAGCCUGCGGAGUAAUUUGGCUCAACACGGGAAAACUCACCAGGUCCAGACAUACUAAGGAUUGACAGGUGUAUGGCUCUUUCGUGAUUCUAUGGGUGGUGGUGCAUGGCCGUUCUUAGUUGGUUGAAUGAUUUGUCUUGUUGAUUCCAUUAGCGAACGAGAUCUUAACCUGCUAAAUAGUCCGUCGCAUCUUCGGAUGUGUAGAUCACUUCUUAGAGUUUGUGUCUUUCAGCGCAAAGAAGUUUGAGGCAAUAACAAGUCUGUGAUGCCCUUAGAUGUUCUGGGCUGCACGCACGCUACACUGGUGCGGUCAGCGAGUGUAUAACCUUGCUAGAUAUAGCUGGGUGAUCUUCUGAAAACGCACCGUGACGGCAUAGGUUAUUGUAGUUAUUAAUCUUCAACGAGGAAUCCUAGUAAGUGUGAAUCAUCAAUUCGCGCUGAUUACGUCCCUGCCCUUUGUACACACCGCCCGUCGCUGCUACCUUGAGUGGUCGGGUAAGUUGUUUGGACUGGUAAUGCAAGGGUUUCCUCCUUAAUCGCUGAAACAUUCUGCAAACCUUAUCACUUAGAGGAAGCAGAAGUCGUAACAAGGCUUCCGUAAGUGAACCUGCAGAAGGAUCAA